GUGGGGAAUAUUGGACAAUGGGCGAAAGCCUGAUCCAGCCAUGCCGCGUGUGUGAAGAAGGUCUUCGGAUUGUAAAGCACUUUAAGUUGGGAGGAAGGGCAUUAACCUAAUACGUUAGUGUUUUGACGUUACCAACAGAAUAAGCACCGGCUAACUUCGUGCCAGCAGCCGCGGUAAUACGAAGGGUGCAAGCGUUAAUCGGAAUUACUGGGCGUAAAGCGCGCGUAGGUGGUUCAGUAAGUUGGAAGUGAAAUCCCCGGGCUCAACAUGGGAACGGCUUUCAAAACUGCGGAGCUAGAGUACGGUAGAGGGUGGUGGAAUUUCCUGUGUAGCGGUGAAAUGCGUAGAUAUAGGAAGGAACACCAGUGGCGAAGGCGACCACCUGGACUGAUACUGACACUGAGGUGCGAAAGCGUGGGGAGCAAACAGGAUUAGAUACCCUUGUAGUCC
rnacentral:rRNA from 1 species